GGGCAUGUAGCUCAGUGGUAGAGCAUGUGCUUAACAUAUACAGGCCCUGAGUUUGAUCCCCAGCACCCA
rnacentral:tRNA from 1 species